UGUAUACCAUUUAAGUCUGCCAACUUCAAAUGUAGGAGAACGGACGUAGUGCUUCAAGCUCAGUUCAAGGAAAUUGUACAUGGUCCAAGUGAGAACAUACAUCGAAUUUUAAUAUCUCCACACCAAAGACACAACUAUCAUCAACUAGAAAAGAAGAUGAUUUCAGUAGCUCCUGAAGAGGAAUCAAGUAAUGCAUCUUCGAGUAGUCAUUCUUGAAAUCAAAGCUGUAGCUAUCUACAAUUAGGUAAACGUUAGAACAUAGAAGAUUAGAGAACAAACAAGUUGUAGGUAGCAGUAUUUAGGUAAAAGUUAGAAAAUUAGAGAAACAAGAACUUGUGUGUAAGAUGAAAAUAUCCCAAAUAAGAUAUAAUCAACUUUCCCCCGAAAAAAAACAUUUAAUCAGCUUUCACGCCAGUUGGUAUUUAAGGAAAGGUCAUCAUAGUAAAAUAAAUCAAAGUAAAAGAGAAUAUGCAUAUGUAACAAUCAGAGGAGUCUCAAGUGUGUGACACACAAUACAGAAGGUCGGUGGACAAAAUUAACAGCGAAGAAAAUAUGAAGCAACUGGUCAAUGGGAAAAGCAAUUGAUUAUGUUUCGAAAUUUGUAGGUAUUGACACCAUCAUCGCCGGACUUCGCUCCACCGCCAUCUUCCUUGCGCCAUCGUUACCUCCUCCACUCCGGGAGCAUGAUUAGUUAGUUGCUUUCUUUUGGGGUUUGUUGUGUUGUGUCCCCAGCCAGGCCUAUUUUACUUUUUUGUUGUUGUUGCCCGUGAACAUUGAGCUUGUGGAUUGGUGGUAUGCUUUAUAAUAUAAAGCGAGGGGAAACCCUAUUUCGGUA